rnacentral:rRNA from 1 species
AGUCACUGACAUUAGAUACCCGUGUAGUCCAGGGUGUAAACGCUGCAGGCUUGGUGUUGGGAACCCUUCGGGGGUGCUCAGUGCCGGAGAGAAGUUGUUAAGUCUGCUACUUGGGGAGUACGUCCGCAAGGAUGAAAACUUAAAGGAAUUGGCGGGGGAGCACCGCAACGGGAGGAGCGUGCGGUUUAAUUGGAUUCAACGACCGAAAAACUCACCAGCAGCGACUGUUACAUGAAAGUCAGGUUGAUGACCUUACUAGAUUUUCAG